rnacentral:rRNA from 1 species
GAUGAACGCUGGCGGCGUGCCUAAUACAUGCAAGUCGAGCGAACGGACGAUAAGCUUGCUUCUCUGAUGUUAGCGGCGGACGGGUGAGUAACACGUGGAUAACCUACCUAUAAUACUGGUAUAACUUCGGGAAACCGGAGCUUAUACCGUAUAAUAUUUUGAACCGCAUGGUUCAAAGGUGAAAUACGGUCUUUCUGUCUCUUAUAGAUGGAUCCCGGCUGCAUUGGCUGGUUGGUAAGGUAACGGCUUACGAAGGCAACGAUGCAUUGCCGACCUGAGAGAGUGAUCGGCCACACUGGAACUGAGCCAGGGUCCAGACUACUACGGGAGGCAGCAGUAGGGAAUCUUCCGCAAUGGGCGAAAGCCUGACGGAGCAACGCCGCGUGAGAGAUGAAGGUCUUCGGAUCGUAAAACUCUGUUAUUAGGGAAGAACAUAUGUGUAAGUAACUGUGCACAUCUUGACGGUACCUAAUCAGAAAGCAACGGCUAACUACGUG